GUUGCUCCAGAAGUCGCUGCGCCAACCGCAAGGGGGCAGGCGCCCAAGGAGUGGCUCGUGACUGGGGUGAAGUCGUAACAAGGUAGCCGUAGGUGAACCUGCAGAAGGAUCA
rnacentral:rRNA from 1 species